UACAGACAUGAUGCUGCUUCUCUCUGUGGUUCACUGUAAAGAAGCAGUGAGUAGAUACUGUAGCCCAAUGGUCCGGGAUUGUUAUCACCACCCCCCCCCCCCCCCCCCCCCCCCCCCCNNNNNNNNNNNNNNNNNNNNNNNNNNNUGGUCCAAUCAAUAUAUCUCUAUUUCUACCCAUAAAUACAGCCACAUGGUCUGGUCCAAUCAAUAUAUCUCUGUUUCUACCCAUAAAUACAGCCUGGUAGGCCUAACUACCCAUCUCCAUCCAUACAGCCACACCAUAUCAAUGCAAUUACAGUUCAGCACUUCAAUGUCUGAUACUUUGUGCUUCAAACAUCUCUCACUUUAACUUUGAAUGGUUUGUUUCUAAUCUAGUGUUAUAACUCCACUCAUUGGCAUGUGCCCUUUUCAGCUUUUUCUGUGUUUUUUUGGAAGAUGAUGAUACCACACUUAAAUGUUCAAAACUGUGGAAGGAGGGAAUGGGGUGGGGUGUGCGUAAGGGGUGGGGUGGGGUAAAUUGAAAAGAAUGAAGGACAACGUCUAUCAGGGACUCGAGGCUACCUAACAGCAUCGUUUGUCCAUACGAUACGAUGAGAGGGGUCAGAACUAAUACUGCCGGGGAUCAGAUUAUCUUAACAACUAUUAACAAAUAACUGCCCUCUUCUCUUCAUCCUCUAGAUAGACUUUUGAUGUUACCUUACAAAACAGCAGUCCAACUCAAAACAGCAAUCCAACUCAAAACAGCAAUCCAACUCAAAACAGCAAUCCAACUCAAAACAGCAAUCCAACUCAAAACAGCAAUUCAACUCAAAACAGCAAUCCAACUCAAAACAGCAAUCCAACUCAAAACAGCAAUCCAACUCAAAACAGCAAUCCAACUCAAAACAGCAAUCCAACUCAAAACAACAAUCCAACUCAAAACAGCAGUUUCUUGUGUUCAUGUGUGUUACCUUGUGAAAAAGCAGCUUGCCUUCUAUAUCUCUAUUCUUUCCAUCUGAAAUUUAUUUUUGUAUCAAUAUUAAAUUAAUGACAUAAUGGGGACUCUUUUUUUUUAGCAUGGAUUUAUUAUAUACUUUUAAAAAUGUUUUGCUGAAAAAUAGUUUUUGAAAGUGCUUUUCAAACUGUCGUUUAUCAUUUGAACGCUGUGAUAUUAAAGAUACAUGCAGUAUGGUGUUAGUGAUACACAACCAUUUGGGCUCUUAGUAAGAACUCAUGAAAGAUUGUCUUCAUUUGAACACAAACAUUUGUAUGACCAAUAAAGCAGCCUUCCAGUUACAAGCUGUAUUGUCUCUGGGUUCUUUUAACUGGAGAUCAGGAUUCACAACAUCUCUUCUAUGGGAAGACUUCUACACUAUUGUGAUGUAUUUAAUCAAUGGGUUGAUAUUCUGAAUAUUUCAGGAUAUCUACAGUAUAGAAGACUAUAAUAUUGUGAUUCUUCACUCAUUUUAUUUACAGUAGGCAACAUUUAAUGCACUUUUGGUGCAAAUUUGAAUAUUAAUGUAUUUUUAUAUAUAUAUAUAUAUAUAUAUAUAUAUAUAUAUAUAUAUAUAUAUAUAAUAUAUAUUUUUUAGACUUUACAAUGUGACAGGAACGAUAGCCUAGCACUUAGAAUUAGUAAAUGGAAUUGAAUUCUAAUUCAAUGCCCUACACUCUAUCACCCUUCUGUGUGUAUUAGCCCAUACACUCCUGUGGAUGUUAUUAGCGUAGGACAACAACACAGGACAUGGAUCUAGGUGUGGUAUACAGUAGCAUAGCAGCUAACAGUCCUUUGACUUUCAGCCAGCCCUUUCAGAUGGAAUGGCUGUAUUGAAUUUGUUAACAACAUCCCCCCCACAGCCAUACGACCAAAGACCAUGAUGUUUGUGAGUCCAUCUGUACAGACAUGAUGCUGCUUCUCUCUGUGGUUCACUGUAAAGAAGCAGUGAGUAGAUACUGUAGCCCAAUGGUCCGGGAUUGUUAUCACCACCCCCCCCCCCCCCCCCCCCCCCCCCCCNNNNNNNNNNCCCCCCCCCCCCUCUCCCCACCUCCUCAAAUGGCACCGUAGCUAUUCCCAAUAUUGUGCACUACUUUAGACCAGGGCUUAGCACCCUAUGCCCUAUAUAGUGCACUACACUACUUUAGACCAGGGCUCAUCACCCUAUGCCCUAUAUAGUGCACUACAGUACUUUUGACCAGGACUCAGCACCCUAUUCCCUAUAUAGUGCACUACAGUACUUUUGACCAGGGCUCAGCACCCUAUUUCCUACAUAGUGCACUACUUUUGACCAGAGUUUGCAUUCCAAAUAGCACCCUAUUGCCUAUAUAAAAGUAGUGCACUAUAAAGGGAGUAGUGUGCCUUUUGGGGCGUGAUCUGUGUGAACAGGUCUGAAAAACUGGAUGCUGGGAUAUGUUGACCAGGAAGUUUUUCUCAUCACCUGAAGGAAGCGGGGAAAUACAUUUAGGAGGAGAUGAAGGAUGAUGAUGACGAUGAUGGGGUUGUAUGUGNNNNNNNNNNNNNNNNNNNNNNNNNNNNNNNNNNNNNNNNNNNNNUAGCCUACGUCCGGUAGGAAAGCACAUGACCCACUAUAUAACUGAAGUAGCCUACAAAACUAGGAAAGCACAUGACCCACUAUAUAACUGAAGUAGCCUACAGAACGGGCUGGUAGGAAAGCACAUGACCCACUAUAUAACUGAAGUAGCCUACAGAACGGGCUGGUAGGAAAGCACAUGACCCACUAUAUAACUGAAGUAGCCUACAGAACGGGCUGGUAGGAAAGCACAUGACCCACUAUAUAACUGAAGUAGCCUACGUCCGGUAGGAAAGCGGGCGGCCUCCAUUCACUAUUUGACUGCAUACAAAGGACAUUUACAGUAUUUUCCCCCUGCUCUGUUCCUUCCCAUUUNNNNNNNNNNCACACACACACACACACACACACACACACACACACACACACACACACACACACACACACACACACACACAGACACACAGACAGACAGACAGACAGACGAUUUCCUGGGUUCUGGUAGAACCUCAGCGCUGGGAUGAAUAUCCAACACACUGCGACAGUCCUCGGCAAGACAGAGUACCACAAACUG
rnacentral:lncRNA from 13 species